UACAGAGGUGGCAAGCGUUGUUCGGAAUUACUGGGCGUAAAGAGUGUGUAGGCGGUGCUCUAAGUUCGGUGUGAAAUCUCCUGGCUCAACUGGGAGGGUGCGCCGGAAACUGGAGUGCUUGAGCGUGGGAGAGGAAAGCGGAAUUCCUGGUGUAGCGGUGAAAUGCGUAGAUAUCAGGAGGAACACCUGUGGUGUAGACGGCUUUCUGGACCAUAGCUGACGCUGAGACACGAAAGCGUGGGUAGCAAACAGG
rnacentral:rRNA from 1 species